rnacentral:rRNA from 1 species
GAUGAACGCUGGCGGCGUGCCUAAUACAUGCAAGUCGAGCGAACAGACGGGGAGCUUGCUCCUUUGACGUUAGCGGCGGACGGGUGAGUAACACGUGGGUAACCUACCUAUAAGACUGGGAUAACUUCGGGAAACCGGAGCUAAUACCGGAUAAUAUUUCGAACCGCAUGGUUCGAUAGUGAAAGAUGGCUUUGCUAUCACUUAUAGAUGGACCUGCGCCGUAUUAGCUAGUUGGUAAGGUAACGGCUUACCAAGGCAACGAUACGUAGCCGACCUGAGAGGGUGAUCGGCCACACUGGAACUGAGACACGGUCCAGACUCCUACGGGAGGCAGCAGUAGGGAAUCUUCCGCAAUGGGCGAAAGCCUGACGGAGCAACGCCGCGUGAGUGAUGAAGGUCUUCGGAUCGUAAAACUCUGUUAUUAGGGAAGAACAAACGUGUAAGUAACUGUGCACGUCUUGACGGUACCUAAUCAGAAAGCCACGGCUAACUACGUG